UACGGGGGGGGCAAGCGUUGUUCGGAAUUAUUGGGCGUAAAGAGCUCGUAGGCGGCUUGUCACGUCGGAUGUGAAAGCCCGGGGCUUAACCCCGGGUCUGCAUUCGAUACGGGCUAGCUAGAGUGUGGUAGGGGAGAUCGGAAUUCCUGGUGUAGCGGUGAAAUGCGUAGAUAUCGGGAGGAACACCAGUGGCGAAGGCGACUUCCUGGCCUGUUCUUGACGCUGAGGCGCGAAAGCUAGGGGAGCAAACGGG
rnacentral:rRNA from 1 species